CUGGCUUACCUCCUCAGUUAUGCGUCAAGGCUUGUAUCGCCUAGAGCGUAUUGUUGGUUUUCUGUAUUGGAUACCUAAUCGAAGGGUAUUAUUUUGAUCGAUCGGAGUCCCUUUUCGUCUUGUUGCAUUUUGUGUCGCAUGAUGAACGUAGAAGCGGUCUCUAUGAUCCAUCACGUUGAUGCACUUGCAUUGAUGUUGUGGCCCAUUGAGCUUUGUUUGGUUUCUUGGAUAUGGAACAUGAAGUGGGCAUGGGGCUGUCAUGAUCCUCUUUUUGCCCUCGUAUGGUGUUCUCGAACGACGGGUCAUGCGCGCCUAGGCUCGU
rnacentral:misc_RNA from 1 species